AGUGAACGCUGGCGGUAGGCCUAACACAUGCAAGUCGAACGGCAGCACAGUAAGAUCUUGCUCUUACGGGUGGCGAGUGGCGGACGGGUGAGGAAUACAUCGGAAUCUACUUUUUCGUGGGUGAUAACGUAGGGAAACUUACGCUAAUACCGCAUACGACCUACGGGUGAAAUCAGGGGAUCUUCGGACCUUGCGCGAUUGAAUUAGCCGAUGUCGGAUUAGCUAGUUGGCGGGGUAAAGGCCCACCAAGGCGACGAUCCGUAGCUGGUCUGAGAGGAUGAUCAGCCACACUGGAACUGAGACACGGUCCAGACUCCUACGGGAGGCAGCAGUGGGGAAUAUUGGACAAUGGGCGCAAGCCUGAUCCAGCCAUACCGCGUGGGUGAAGAAGGCCUUCGGGUUGUAAAGCCCUUUUGUUGGGAAAGAAAAGCAGCAGGUUAAUACCCCGCUGUUCUGACGGUACCCAAAGAAUAAGCACCGGCUAACUUCGUG
rnacentral:rRNA from 1 species